GAUUGCAGUCUGCAACUCGACUGCAUGAAGCUGGAAUCGCUAGUAAUCGCGGAUCAGAAUGCCGCGGUGAAUACGUUCCCGGGUCUUGUACACACCGCCCGUCACACCAUGGGAGUCGGAUAUGCCCGAAGUCAGUGACCCAACCGCAAGGAGGGAGCUGCCGAAGGUGGAGCCGAUGACUGGGGUGAAGUCGUAACAAGGUAUC
rnacentral:rRNA from 1 species